rnacentral:rRNA from 1 species
CUAGCCGUAAACGAUGGGUACUAGGUGUAGGAGGUUUCGAUACCUUCUGUGCCGCAGUUAACGCAAUAAGUACCCCGCCUGGGGAGUACGUGCGCAAGCAUGAAACUCAAAGGAAUUGACGGGGGCCCGCACAAGCGGUGGAGCAUGUGGUUUAAUUCGAAGCAACGCGAAGAACCUUACCAGGUCUUGACAUCACCUAGCAAGCCAUGGAAACAUGGCCCUCCUUCGGGACUGGGUGACAGGUGG